UAAUAUGUCUUACUUGUUAUUGUUGUAUGGUGUUAUAAGUAUAGAAAAAGCUAAGAAGUUGUAGGGUUAGUAAUUUUUAAAGAAAAUCUAUUAUAUUAAGUAAAAGUUUAUAAGUAUUGUAAAAGAAAGGUGUUUAUUUUUAUUUAAAGUAGUUUUAAAGUUUCUUACCUUUUGUAUCAGGGGCUUUCAAUAAUAUUAAUUUAAGGUGUUGUUAUCUCGAAUCAGGAAGAGCUAUAGUAAAAGUUUUAAUUUUGUAGUAAAAAAAUAUAGAAUUUUAUUAUAGUAAUGAUAUUUUAAUCGAAUUCUGUAUAUCUAGUUGUUUCUAAAGAAAAUUAAAUUUGGUCAGUAGUUUGAGUUGGAGCUACUGGAUAAAAGCAGGAGGGAAGAGCUUCUUGUUUAAAAAUUAUAAGGCUAUAGUAAGUAUAAUUUUGAAUUAAUCUUAAAAUCAGUUAAGUUAACAGGGCGUUUUAGCUGAGAUAUUAAAUAAAUAGAUUUAAAUAGCUUUUAAUUGAAGUUAAGGAGACAGUGUGUAUGAGUUGAAUAUAUUCAGUUAAAAUGAUUGUAUAAGUAUAUGGCUUUGUUGGUUUAAGAAUUAGAAUAGUUUUGAUUUUUGUGUGAGCGAAGAUAUAAUAAAGGAACUCGGCAAAUAUUAGCUUCUGCCUGUUUAUCAAAAACAUGUCUGUAUGAAUAAAAUGUAAAGUCUAGCCUGCCCACUGAUAAUUAGUUUUAAAGGGCCGCGGUAAUUUGACCGUGCAAAGGUAGCAUAAUCAGUAGUCUUUUAAUUGAGGGCUGGAAUGAAUGGUUGGACAAGAAGCUGUCUGUCUUUGUUAUAAAAAUUGAAUUUAACUUUUAAGUGAAAAGGCUUAAAUAUGUUGGGGGGACGAUAAGACCCUAUAAAACUUGACAUAGAAAGUUGGUUUUUAAAUUAUUGUGUUAAAAUAAACCAGGCUUAUUUUGUUACGUUGGGGCGACGAGAAUAUAAAGUGUAACUGUUAGUGAAUUAAAAUAAUUAUUUUUAGUUGUUUGAUUGAUCCUUUUAUAGAGAUUAUAAGAAAAAGUUACUUUAGGGAUAACAGCGUGAUUUUUUCUGAGAGUUCUUAUCGACGAAAGUAGUUGCGACCUCGAUGUUGAAUUAAGAUAUUAUUAGGGUGUAGAAGUUCUAAUUAUAGGUCUGUUCGACCUUUAAAAUCUUACAUGAUUUGAGUUCAAACCGGUGUGAGCCAGGUUGGUUUCUAUCUUGCAAUUUUUAAAUAAUUGCCCUAGUACGAAAGGAUUGGGUAGUUGAAAAAUUUUUUAUAUUCUGAUGAAUAUUAAGUUAAA
rnacentral:rRNA from 1 species